GAUGAACGCUGGCGGCAGGCCUAACACAUGCAAGUCGAGCGGAUGACGGGAGCUUGCUCCUUGAUUCAGCGGCGGACGGGUGAGUAAUGCCUAGGAAUCUGCCUGGUAGUGGGGGACAACGUUUCGAAAGGAACGCUAAUACCGCAUACGUCCUACGGGAGAAAGCAGGGGACCUUCGGGCCUUGCCCUAUCAGAUGAGCCUCGGUCGGAUUAGCUAGUAGGUGAGGUAAUGGCUCACCUAGGCGACGAUCCGUAACUGGUCUGAGAGGAUGAUCAGUCACACUGGAACUGAGACACGGUCCAGACUCCUACGGGAGGCAGCAGUGGGGAAUAUUGGACAAUGGGCGAAAGCCUGAUCCAGCCAUGCCGCGUGUGUGAAGAAGGUCUUCGGAUUGUAAAGCACUUUAAGUUGGGAGGAAGGGCAGUAAGCUAAUACCUUGCUGUUUUGACGUUACCGACAGAAUAAGCACCGGCUAACUCUGUGCCAGCAGCCGCCGUAAGAC
rnacentral:rRNA from 1 species